GCUCAACAAAGCGUGACACGAGAAUACCCUAGUUUGCUCGCUCAUCUGACGUUGAAGUAUUCCUUUCACUGCCAGUUCAUACACUUGAUGGCUUCAUGGUGGGCGGGUCUCCCUUCUUUACAACUGUUCCUUCUGGAAGAGUUGGUUCUGCCCAUGAUUCAGUUUAUAGCUCCAAUGAUGAAUUUAAGCAGAAUGCAGGGAUGCGCUUUUAUGGGGGUGCACUAUGUCAUCAUGCAAUGGCAGAAUUCUGUUUUGUUGCUGGGGGAAUCAACUGUCCUCAAAUUACAGGUGAAGAAAUUGCGAAUGCAUGUGGAGUUGAAGAUAUCCGUGAUGGAACUAACUACUCUAGGUAUCCUUGAGAUUGUUUGCUCUUUACCCGGUGGGAUCACAUGGAAUGUAUCUUUAUAAAUGAUUUAUAUGACAAAUUUUGGGAUUAAUUCCAAAUUAUUUUCUUUUGCUGCUUUCAAGUGCAUCCUGUCUAUUAGUGAACCAGCUUCAUGCAGCUUUUCUUUCUCCUUACAUCUACAUCUUUAAGCCUUGCAACAAAAAUUUGGAGUAAAUACACUGGGGUUUCAUCAAAGACCAUGUCCAAGCAAAAGCCAGCUUCUAAAGAAGCAUGUCUCUUAACAGGGAGAAUCUAUCCACUUGUUGCUUUCAAGCUAUCAACAAAAGUUUUAACUGAAAAUCUGGCAUUCCUAGAGCCUCUCUUGCAUUCAUGAUUUUGGCUUGCCUCUCCUUUUGCUUAAUGAAUGAGAGUCAAUUCAACGUGUUUCAAUUUAAGAUAUUAAUGCUAAAUGUAUCUCAUGAUAAUGUCAGUGAUUAUCUCAUAAUUUUGGAAAACAGGUUGCUAUAUGUUUGCUAAAGUUUUUAGGGAUUGUGUAGUUAGUGUCCCACUCAAGAAGAAAUCUAGAAGGGAAGUUACAAGAAAAUAUACUUUAAAGUUACUAGUUUGUUUAUGAAAAAUGAAAUCUGAAUGAUAUUUUGCAAGAGAAAUGAUGAAUGCUAUAUCAUGUUCUUAAUGAUAAAGCUGUCCCAUUUUCUUAAACAUGGGGAGAAUGAUGACAGAGACGUAUGUCAUCAUUUUCUAUGGGAGGUAAUCGUAUAUCUGCUGGUCUACAGUCCACCAUGGGUCAGCUGCCAAUGAGAAGCAUGGCAAUCAACCAAGUGCAGAUGUCAAGCUCGGUCAUUUGGCUUCAGGCAUUGACUCAAGCUCAGCAGUUCAGAUAACAGAGACGCACCUUGCAGAUCUUCUAGACUGCACCCCUUGGAAAUCGGAGACCUGCCCUAUCAUCUGAAAGAAUUGUUUGUGCCCUGGUUCAACAGAUAUUCCUUGGCAUAAGAGAGUAUUUCUUAGCCCUUUGGAAUCGGAGACCUGCCCUAUCAUCUGAAAGAAUUGUUUGUGCCCUGGUUCAACAGAUAUUCCUUGGCAUAAGAGAGUAUUUCUUAGCCUCUGCUUGAAGGUUUGACAUCCUCUCCAUUUUCAGUUUGGUCGAAAAUGAUGUUAUGUGGUUGAUAGGCUCCACCUGCAUUUUCCAUACUCCCUCCGAGAAAUUUGGAAAGGAAAAGAACAAAACUUACUGCGAACAUAAACUUCAAUAAAUUUUUUUUUUAAAAAAAACAGCAAGUGAAUAAUAUAUUUCGAAUUCUAAAUUCAAAAAAAAAAAAAAUUGUUUUCUGAACAUAAACAUAUUUUGACAUGGAGGGAAUAGCAAAUACUCUAUUAUCUAUUUCAUACCACAACAUUGUUUCCUCCUUUUUAAUCAAAAUUUUUGUUUCUAUUGCUUUGACAAAAUUGUUCCAACUUUGUUGGCAGUAGCUUUUUGUCUGAGAGUUUUUCACAGUUGUUUGCAUGUGUCCUUUGCGAUGACAAGUUGCCAGCAGUUCUCCGGCAGGACAUAGAUUUGGCAUUUGUAGAUGAUUUGGAUUAACGUUUUUGACAGCAUCAACUUACGACACUCCUUCAGCCAACGGAAGCUAGAAAAAGAGAUGGGCCUGUAAAGGAUCAAGACUUAAGAGGCUCAAAGAGAAAUUUAGGCUGAUAAGUGCGAACCUUGCUUUGAAUCAAUUCAAGGCCGUCUCCAUUGAAUGAGUCCUAAGCCAGAGUGACACUUACAGCAAUCGUGGAUGCAUGAACUAAUUAAGUUAUUUUACUCCAUUGAAUGAGCACCUUGCAUUUCUUUUCUUUCUACAGACCCCUUUUAUCAGCACGUUACUCUUGUGCUGCACGGUGAAUCUUGGGUGUGAUUGCAUUGUAAUAACUAUAGAAGAUACAGCAUAAGAUUCUUUGUUUAAUAUUUCAUAUCAGGUGUGUAUUGUAAUCCAAUUUAUUUUGUGUUUAUAGUCUUUUCUUUCUUAUGAUUGAUGACAAAGAGAGAAUUUAUACUAAUUACUGAAUUCUUGUU